CAAAAGAGGCCCAAAUUUCGUGCUUGGGCAUUUCUUAUUUGACAAAUGGCCCAAAGGCCUCUCUCGCAAUCUCGGCCGACUCCUCCCCCCUCCACCGCAUAACGCGACUCCUCAAUUGCGCCGACCUCCGUUCGAGUGAUCGAGUCCAAAGGAGAUGGAGAUAGAUUGGCCACCGAUGGACGGAGGCCCCUCCUGCGGCCACGCAACGGCGGUCCCGACUACGGCGAGGAUGGUUCGUGAGGGUGCCCAUGGAGCACUUUGGGAAGACGGUCAGGGCGAACCAGCGGUGCGCGGAGGAGGUCUCAGCUGUCCUCUCCGGCGUGGGAAGACGCUGUCACCCACCUCACCUCCCGCCUCCAGGUGCUCGCCGUCGACGUCUAAGAAAGAUCAAGAACCUCCUCGGACCCCCGCCUGAGCACCGCAGGAUUCAGUUCCAUCGACUCAACAUCAAGAACGACGCCCGACUCGUGGGCCUUAUCAAGACGUUGGAUCUGGUGAGCUCCUCGCCUACCCUCUCUCUCAUUUACUUCCAGGCCGACAGGUCACCCCGUGGUCCCUUUUCUCUCCUCUUUCUCUGGAUGUCUACAGCGACAAGAUCAAGCACCUCCUCGAGCCCCCGCCGGAGCACGGCCGGAUCCAGUUCCACCGACUCGACAUCAAGAACGACUACCGACUCGAGGGCCAUCAAGAUGUUGGACCUGAUGAUCAACCGGACAAUCAUCUGUAUCCCUGCCUAUUAUAAUACCCGUCCACUGGGUACCGUAUACAGCAAUUUCAUGGAUGCCCUUCCGGUGGUUAAGUAUUGCUCUGAAAACAACAAGCGGCUUAUUCAUUUCUCCACUUGCGAGGUGUAUGGGAAUGCUAUUGGGAGCUUUCCCCCAAAGGAUCACUCUCUGCUACAGGGAAACAUACAGCUAAUAUUUUCUAUUAUUUGUUGGUAGUUGAGACUAUUUCUAUGCAUUCGCUAUGGGAAAGCUCGCAGGUGAUCAAUAAAGUUUGGGUUGAUGCUUAAGUUUGACUGGGCUUGAAAUCAUGUUGCAAGUUUUGUUUGCAAUACUAUGGGUUCAUCUUCAAGUUCAUUUUGCUAGUAUGAUGGGAUGCAUGGCACAACUUCUGUUUGCAUUCGCCAUAUGUGCGCGAGAUAUUUUGUGGUCUCUCUUCUCCCGACAACAACAGAAGAUAGUUGGCCCUGCUGUAGAAAAUCCACUUGUUAGAGAUCAUAGUGCUUCCAUCACUGAGAUUGUGGAAGAGGGAAUUCAACAGGCUGACAAAUGGUCGAAGUCGGAUCAACUUUAUGAUGGCUGUUUAUCAAGGUUGAUUGACUGUUGACAGCAGAGAGGUUUCAUUAGUCCAGAGGUGGAGCAUGCUUUCAGCAUUUUAGAUGCUGCAAUCUCUAUAGUACGAGGCAACAGAGUGUCAUACAACCAAACUGAGUGCUCGCCAGCUGACCUGGAUUUGCCGCCUCGUGAACCAGCUACAAAAGCUGCUUUUAUUAGUAACAGAGAUGCACCUACUGUUGGCUUGAACAUGGAGAAGUUGACAAAGAAUUCUGAAGGCUAUUCACGAGCGAAAGAUUUCAGACAUAUUAGUGCAGGAUCCAUCUCAUCAUCCAAAGAGAAACCUGAAGAUUUUGGUGACAGAGGAGAUGGUUUGGGUAGUUAUCGUCAGGACAAGAUGACGGAAACUGCUCUUGCGGCGACACACAUCCCUUCGCCGUCAAAUAGCACGAGAAAGGGAAACAUACAACUAAUAUUUUCUAUUAUUUGUUGGUUGUUGAGAGUCUUGAGACUAUUUCUAUGCAUUCGCUAUGGGGAAGCUCGCAGGUGAUCAAUGACUUAGCUAAAGUUUGGCUUGAUGCUUAAGUUUGAUUGGGCUUGAAAUCAUGUUGCAAGUUUUGUUUGCAAUACUAUGGGUUCAUCUUCAAGUUUGGCGGAGAGUAACCCCAAUUAUAUGUUCUAUUGUCAAAACUCACCAAUGAAUGGAAUACUAGUCUUGAGGACGACUUGAGAUUUUCUUUUUCAUUGUCAAAGUAUGCGAGUUAUUUGGACUGUAGCAAGUGGCAGUGCAUUAGGUGGCUGGCAACUUGAACAUUGAAACUUGCGGUCUUGAAUAAUGACACUCGUGUGUUUGAGGUAUCAGUUAACUUGCUGAAUUAACUAUUUCUAAAUAUGCCUGUCUUGGAGAUAAUUUGUAGCUUGAUUCCUAAUUUUGAUUACUAUAUCUAUAUGUUACUCGAGAAGCUAAAGGUAGAGUUUCUUAUAUGAAACCUCUAAUGUUUUUUGUCCUUUGAUCA